rnacentral:rRNA from 1 species
AUGGAGCCUCUUAGCAAGGAAGAAUCCAAGACUUUAUUUCACGAGGCAAAAAGGCCCGCUGAAAAUGAGUUGUUGAAAAUGUGUGGGGGCAUGCCAUUGGCAAUACUUAUUGCAGCCGGCAGGAAAUCUGCAGGACUAGCUGAGCCAGAGAUUCGUGAGAGACGUAUCCUUUCAACAUCAGACCAAUGUUCCACAUCGGAUGGGAUGAGAAUGUUAUUGCGCAUGAGUUAUGAUGAGCUACCUGCCCCUUUGAAGUCUUGUCUUGUAUACCUCGGUGUUUUUCCAGAAUAUUAUACCAUCAAGAAAGACCGUUUGAUACGGCUAUGGAUCGCUGAGGGAUUUUUCUUAGGAAGACAUGAAGAAAACUUGUGGAGAACAGGAGAAAGCUAUUUCAAUGAGCUCAUCUGUAGGCGGCUGAUUCAGCCAGUGUUCGGCUACGAAGAUGGCCAGGCUGUAGGAUGUGUGGUGCAUGGUGUGAUCCUUGACUUCAUCAAAACUUUGUCUACGGAAGGCAACUUUGCGACGACGAGUGCAGAUAUGAGGUCUGGACUAACUCCAUGGUACCUGAUUCCACGGUUCUCAUUCGAUUGCUGCAGUAAGGAAGAUGAAGCCGGCAAGCUGCUCUCAGUAACCCUGCACCUAUCUAGCAUGCGAACCCUCCAAGUUUGCGGGCGUGCUGGAUGGACAACCCUCCUCACAUAUCCUAAGGUUAGAAAAGGGAAGCCUGCUCUUCGAACCUUCAAAUUUCUACGAGUACUCGAUGUGGAAGAUAAUGGUAUUUUGAGAAGCCACCAUCUGAAAGGCAUUGGAGGGCUGAUUCUACUAAGGUACUUGGGACUUAGAGGGGCUGCUAUCCAUGAAUUACCAGGUGAAAUUGGAAAGCUUGAGCUUUGA